UGCCAAUAAACAACCUGUACAGUACGUGCCGAGAACGGUUCUUGGUGAGCAGUCAAGUUACUUUGAAUUCACAUUUGACAGAAUUUAAAGACCAUGAGUUGAUCAAAACCAAAAGAAAUUCUGAUGGUCAAGAUUGCCUUUGUAUUCCUCUCACAAAUGAAGCCCUUCAGAAACUUAUAGCAGAUAUCGUUUAAUAGAGCUUCCAAUACAAGAAGAGAAAUCACUCAGCAGCAAAUUUGAAGCAGCAGAGG
rnacentral:misc_RNA from 1 species